GAUGAACGCUGGCGGCGUGCCUAAUACAUGCAAGUCGAGCGAACAGACGAGGAGCUUGCUCCUCUGACGUUAGCGGCGGACGGGUGAGUAACACGUGGAUAACCUACCUAUAAGACUGGGAUAACUUCGGGAAACCGGAGCUAAUACCGGAUAAUAUAUUGAACCGCAUGGUUCAAUAGUGAAAGACGGUUUUGCUGUCACUUAUAGAUGGAUCCGCGCCGCAUUAGCUAGUUGGUAAGGUAACGGCUUACCAAGGCGACGAUGCGUAGCCGACCUGAGAGGGUGAUCGGCCACACUGGAGCUGAGACACGGUCCUGACUCCUACGGGAGGCAGCAGUAGGGAAUCUUCCGCAAUGGGCGAAAGCCUGACGGAGCAACGCCGCGUGAGUGAUGAAGGUCUUCGGAUCGUAAAACUCUGUUAUUAGUGAAGAACAAAUGUGUAAGUAACUAUGCACGUCUUGACGGUACCUAAUCAGAAAGCCACGGCUAACUACGUG
rnacentral:rRNA from 1 species